AGAGAUCUCUCCAGAACCUUCUGGCUGGGAGUGGGCCCUGGAUGUCCGGCCUUGGAGCAGUCAGAGUGAGCCCUGUGGCCAAAGCUUGUGGCCUAGACAAGGAGUCACAGGGGCAGCAGGCAGCACUCGGGGCCUGAGGCGUCCGCGCCAGCUCCCACUCCCGCCUGCCUGUGCCUGUUUAUGAAGCGGAGGAGCCCCACCAGCUGACUAUGCAAUGCCACCACUGGCAGGUGCCAUCAGGUGGGCCUGGACCCUCAGAGCAAGACACAGUGCUGUUCCACAUCUGCCUGCUGCUGCGAUUGAAGCCCCACCCUUGACCCCAGUGCCCUCUUUUACUUCUCGUGGUCGCCAGGGGUAGCAGGGUCCAGGGUCUGCAUGGCCCUGACUAAGCCAGGUCUGCGGCCUGCCAAGGAUGUGCCAGAACAAUACUGGGGAUUAAAUCCGCAACUCUUUUUUAAUUUUUUUGUUUGAGAGCCUCAUUCUAAGUUGCUAAGUUGCUUAGGCCCGGCUUGAACUUGCCACCCUCCUCGUCCAGCCUCCCAGGGUGCUGGAAUUACCAUCAGGUCCUGCUAAAGCUGACAUCAUAAGCUGACUGUAAGGAGGAUGUGAUUCCCAGCAGAAGCUGGGGCAUCUGUGCUCUUGUCCAGCAAACGUGAACACGGUGGCCCAGGGAAGCUACAGACACCUCUCACAGCCUGGCUGCACCUGCCCUGGCUCUGCAGGGGAGCUGGCUUCACCCCUGGGAGUCCUGGUCUCUGCCUUGGGAGUGGGAGAUGAGGGUGGGGAAAACCUGCUCUCACAGGGCUGCGGUCUGCCCAACACUCUGCAGCCCAGACCCUUCCCACCACAAAGCGCCUCUGUGCUGCCGCCACCCAGAUGGCCAGAACUGGGUGCUCCCCUGAGAGCCGCCCUGCACCUAGUUCUGCCCUUGUGGGGAAACAGCUGCUCUGUAACCCCACCCCCAUGCCCUGGCAGCCCUGAGCGAUGUUCCAGGUGACCAGCACUGGUAGUCCAGGAGCUCCACCUCAGCCUUGGGCAUUUGAGGGUCACACACAGAGUGUCUCUUGUCCUCCUGGUACAGACAUCCGGCUUUAUGGCAACUAUCUAGGAAGAGCUGAACCCUAAAUCAGGAACCUGGGUUGGAGUCCAAGCUCUCCUGCGCAACCUUCUGUAAGCUGUUUGCCCUCAGUGCAAACAUUCGCAUUGUCUGUCAUUUGUUGAAUUCGAAUAAAAAUGGCACCCACUGGUGGGGUUUUGUGGAGAUACGAACCUGGACACUAACUACAUCGAAGGGAUCAGUGCAGGGUAGAAAUACGAGUAGCUAUGUCUUGUGGUGCACUCCACAUUGCUUGACCUGGUAUGAGUCUUUCCAAAUGUCACCUCGUUUGGCUUAGUCCUCCCUGUCACUUUUUUCCAACAGAGGUGAAUGUCACAUGACAUGGAGUGAAUCACCACCCAUUUGCAAGGAGCACCUUUGCAUCCACAGAGCUGUGGGGUCAGUGCACUGCCCCAAACCUUUCUCCCAAAGGAGAUUAGGUGCCCAGUCGUCUCAUGCCCUUCACCCAGGGAAACGUGGCUCAUUUCCUGUGGACACGUUGGCCCUGCACAUAGCCCAGCGUGAGGCAUCUACUAACAGGCUUCCUUCUCUCCGCUGCGUGACCAUGUGUGGUGCCAUGUGGGUAACCCUGUGUAGACCCCAAAUGCCUGUCUGACCAGGUGUUUUAACUGUAUUUCCAGGGGACAGAGGGCACGGAUAGGCUGCACCUGUUUCCUGGGCAUGUGGUGCCUGAUAUGAGACACAGAGGGUUGGACAGAGGAGGGACCCGAGAUGCACCCACUCUCCCCAAGCCCGAGAUCUUAUCUUCAUUAAAAACUGAGAUAUUUUGUACACCAUGGAUAUUCUUUCUCUAGGUUUAUUGAAAAAUUUAUAAUUAAACCCUUGAUUUUUAUUUACUCGUAGUCACAUGCAGGUGUAAGAAAUACUGUGGCACGCACUUUGCCUGUGGCAACAUCCUGCAAAACAAUAGUGCAUUACCAA